rnacentral:pre_miRNA from 13 species
CGGCCGGGCCGGCCCCUCCAGGAGCAGGACAGCCACUGACUAACGCACAUUGUGCUGUUGGCGACGCCACUGUGCGUGUGACAGCGGCUAACCUGGCCCUCGGACACCAGCAGCGCCCGCC